rnacentral:rRNA from 1 species
AUUGAACGCUGGCGGCAAGCCUAACACAUGCAAGUCGAACGAGUGGCGGACGGGUGAGUAAUGUAUGGGAAUCUGCCUGAUGGAGGGGGAUAACUACUGGAAACGGUAGCUAAUACCGCAUACCAUCAGAUGUACCCAGAUGGGAUUAGCUUGUAGGUAAGGUAAAGGCUCACCUAGGCGACGAUCCCUAGCUGGUCUGAGAGGAUGACCAGCCACACGGGGACUGAGACACGGCCCAGACUCCUACGGGAGGCAGCAGGGGGGAAUAUUGCACAAUGGGCGCAAGCCUGAUGCAGCCAUGCCGCGUGUAUGAAGAAGGCCUUCGGGUUGUAAAGUACUUUCAGUCGGGAGGCGUUACCCGCAGAAGAAGCACCGGCUAACUCCGUGCCAGCAGCCGCGGUAAUUC